AUCUAGCGGACGAGUCCCGUAUAGGACGGAACGCGCUUCCUCGAU
rnacentral:hammerhead_ribozyme from 1 species